GUCAUUUAAGCAUCACAUAAUUAAUUGUGUACAUCCUGUGCCACAUGCAAUUGCCACAGCUUUGAAGUCCCAAUAGAUCAUUUUAUAGAGCAGUGGGUGCCAUUUUAAAGAAAAAGAAAGAAAAAGAAAAGCAAAGGCCUGGCGCCAGGACACGGCUGUGUGGAUUUGAACAUAUCCUUCUCCAGAUAGAGCUGCUCGAGUCAGAGUCAAACCUUUUUGGAGGAGGGGAAAUCUUGGAUUGAGAGCGUGACUGAUACAGGCACCCAUCCUUGUCUCUGCUCCAGAUUACAGGAAUCUCUGGAAACAAAGAAUGAAAACCAGUUUCCAGAUUUCCAUCUUAAUUAAUCCACAAUAUCCUGACCAGUAAACUAAUCUUCCAUUAUCAAAUUUCGACCAAAGAUUGCGACUUUUCUGAAGAGGCGAGUGCUGGGUGCCUCUAGUCAACCAUGUUGAUGACGUCCUUUCUAGAAAACACCCUGAUACCUUGUGCCUGUGCUUCCAAGGUGGCUGACGCUGUGCCUGUGCUUCCGAGGUGGCUGACUUCUAACUGAGUGCAGUGGAGACCCCGUGGUGCUUUACAGAACAGAUGGCAGUGCUGCCCAAGCUCAGAACACAGCUGGACGGAUCCCCAUUUUUAAAAUGUUGCUUUUAAAGUUCCUUGGUCUAUUUUAAGUCUUAGACAAUAGAGCACUAAUUUGUGUCCACAGCUAGGGAAAAAGCACCCCAAAUACUCAUGUUAUGUCACUUUCAGUACCACAAUUCAAAUAGUGAAAGACGAUGCUUCCAUGUACCACGUAUAGGUCUCUACUAGUGAUUUUUCUCUCAUUUCAACCUAGCUUCACAUAUUUUUAUGGUAUAGCUAACUCAACAUUGAUUCUAUACAAAAUAUAUUAUCUAAGAUAGUCUUUAAAAAUAUUUGAAUUCCACUGGGAUUUGUUUAAACCCCUACACAAAUAAUUACCUCUUACUAAAAACACUGAGUUUGGCAAGUGAAAUUUUGUAAUAAGGUGAAGAUUCAAUAAAAUCUUGUCUCAAACUAAUG
rnacentral:lncRNA from 1 species